AUUGAACGCUGGCGGCAUGCUUUACACAUGCAAGUCGAACGGUAACAGGUCUUCGGAUGCUGACGAGUGGCGAACGGGUGAGUAAUACAUCGGAACGUGCCUAGUAGUGGGGGAUAACUACUCGGAAGAGUAGCUAAUACCGCAUGAGAUCUACGGAUGAAAGCAGGGGACCUUCGGGCCUUGUGCUACUAGAGCGGCUGAUGGCAGAUUAGGUAGUUGGUGGGGUAAAGGCUUACCAAGCCUGCGAUCUGUAGCUGGUCUGAGAGGACGACCAGCCACACUGGGACUGAGACACGGCCCAGACUCCUACGGGAGGCAGCAGUGGGGAAUUUUGGACAAUGGGCGAAAGCCUGAUCCAGCAAUGCCGCGUGCAGGAUGAAGGCCCUCGGGUUGUAAACUGCUUUUGUACGGAACGAAAAGCCUGGGGCUAAUAUCCCCGGGUCAUGACGGUACCGUAAGAAUAAGCACCGGCUAACUACGUGCCAGCCGCCGCGGUAAAAC
rnacentral:rRNA from 1 species